rnacentral:lncRNA from 1 species
UAGAGAUUAGUGCUCUAUCUGAUAUGUGAGUGGUAAAUAUUUGCUCCCAAGAUGUAGGCUUUUUAUUUACUGUUUGGGUUAUUUGCUUUGUGGUGUUUAGCUUUUUGAGUUAUUUAAGUAUUCUAGAGAUUAGUGCUCUAUCUGAUAUAUGAGUGGUAAAUAUUUGCUCCCAAGAUGUAGGCUUUUUAUUUACCUCACUGAUUGUUUGUUUUGCUGAAAAGAAGCUUUUUAGUUUGAAUCCAUCCCAUUUUUGAUUCUUGAUUUUAAUUCUUGUGCUAUAGGAGUCUUAUUAAGAAUACGACAUGAUAGAGAUUUGAGCCUACUUUUUCUUCUGUUAGAUGCAGAGUUCCUAGUUUAAUUCCUAGGUCCUUGAUCCACUUUGAGUUGAGUUUUGAGAAUGGUGAGAGAUAGGGGUUUAUUUUCAUUUUGUUGCAUAUGGAUUUGCAGAUUUCCCAGUACUGUUUAUUGAAGAGGCUAUCUUUUAUCCAGUUCAUGUUUUUGGCACCUUUGUCUAAUAUAAGAUAAUUGUAAUUUUGUGGGUUAGUCUCUGUGUCUUCUAUUCUGUACCAUUACUCUACUAGCCUGUUUUGGUACCAAUACCAUACUGUUUUUGUUACUAUUGCUCUGUAGAAUAGUUAAGAUCUUGUAUAAUGAUGCCACCUGCUUCACUCUUCUUGCUAAGGAUUGCUUUAUUAGCUUUUCUGCAUUUCUUAUUUUUCCAGAUGAAUAUCAUGACUGCU